CUCUCGUAGAACCGAGCGACGAUUUUAAUCUUCAGAUUCGGUUUCUACACGUCAAAAUACACAAAAUAGAUGAGUUUAAGCGAAAUCCAAGAUGUUGUCAAACUUCUAAAUAAUUACCAUAGAGAUAAUAUUGGAAAUCGCCGUCACAUGAGUUUUACAGUUAACCUAUAUUUUUGAAAAUUAACAUCUUACUAAUCGACAAUAUUGAGUGCAACCAAUUAAUAUGAAAUGGCCUGUCCAAGGAGACUUCUAUCAUUUACUACAAGAGGUGAAAAAUGACCCAUACAUGUUGUUUCGAUAUACAAGAAUGUCCAUAAACAUGUUCAAUCAACUAUUGGAGUUAAUGAGACCUUCUCUGAUAAGAAAAAGUCAUCAAGUAUAGUACCUGAGCAAUGUCUAGCUUUAAGUCUAAGGUAUCUUGCCAUGGGUGACCAAAUAUUGUUCAUUGCAUUAGCUUAGUAGGAGAAUUGUCAGCUCGUAAAGUUAUUAAAGAAACUUGUGCAUCACUUACAACAAUACUAGCACCGAUAUAUCUCCGUGUCCCUGCUGAACAAGGAUAAAAAUAUGUGAAGGAUUUUGGAGAGAAUGGAACUUUCCAAAUUGUUGUAGUACAAUUGAUGGCAAGCACAUGCAAAUACAAACACCACCAAAACAAACUCAGGAAGUUUAUAUUAUAAUUACAAAAAAACAUUUAGCAUAGUGUUAAUGGCAGCAUGUGACAGUAGCUAUAAAUUCACAAUAGAUAAUUGUGAAGCAUAUGGCAG